AUCUGUGGCCAUAACAUCCUGAACAUGCUUGACCUCAUCUGAUCUCAGAUGCUAAGCAGGGUUAGGCCUGGUAAGUACUUGAAUGGGAGUCAUGUCUU
rnacentral:rRNA from 10 species